AUUGUACUCCACCUCCUGCUUGAAUACUCCCCUCCACCUCCUGCUUAUUACCACACAUUUAAUCCCAAAAUUCCACCACAUAUACAAUCUGCAAUCACUUUCGCAGAGAAUCGUGAGCAACAGAGCAGCAAGCAGGUUAUCUCCGCAAGUUAAGGUCGGAGCGAGAAAUUCAAAUUAAGGAAAUUAAAGGAACGAGGUUGAGCAGUGACGGUGGAGAAUGUUGAACAGAGUUAUGAUUUUCCUUUUAUUUUAAGUAGAGGCUCUCGGCGGUGCAUGUCUCCAUACAUGUGACCGUGUUCAUUCCGCUGCGUACUAAGAUUUUAGUUAACCUCAAUUAAUCUUCUGUACUCUGAUAAUUAUUUAUUGAAAAGUAAGAUUUUCAUUCAA